AAACCAGCACCUCAAGUGGUCAGGAGGAUUAUUGGGCCUAAAGCAUCCGUAGCCUGCUCUGUAAGUUUUCGGUUAAAUCUGUACGCUCAACGUACAGGCUGUCGGGAAUACUGCAGAGCUAGGGAGUGGGAGAGGUAGACGGUACUCUGGAGGAAGUGGUAAAAUGCUUUGAUCUCUCGAUGACCACCUGUGGCGAAGGCGGUCUACCAGAACACGUCCGACGGUGAGGGAUGAAAGCUGGGGGAGCAAACCGGAUUAGAAACCCGAGUAGUCC
rnacentral:rRNA from 1 species